rnacentral:rRNA from 1 species
GACAGAGGUGCCGAGCGUUAGGCGGAAUCACUGGGCUUAAAGCGUGUGUAGGCGGGCGGGCAAGUGCCUUGUGAAAUCCCACGGCUCAACCGUGGAACGGCUGGGUAUACUGCCUGUCUUGAGCCAACUAGGGGCGAGCGGAACAGACGGUGGAGCGGUGAAAUGCGUAGAUAUCGUCUGGAACGCCAAAGGUGAAAACAGCUCGCUGGGGUUGUGCUGACGCUGAGACACGAAAGCCAGGGGAGCGAACGGG